AAAUAUAUUGAAUGAAGAGUUUGAUCCUGGCUCAGGAUGAACGCUGACAGAAUGCUUAACACAUGCAAAUCUAUGUUGAGUAACUAAGCUUGCUUAGAUAUGAGACAUGGUGGACUGGUGAGUAACGUGUAAAGAACUUGCCUCUUAGACUGGGAUAACCAUUGGAAACGAUGGAUAAUACUAGAUAUUAUUAGACAUAGGCAUCUAAGUUUAAUGAAAGAGAGAUCACUAAGAGAGAGCUUUGCAUCCUAUUAGCUAGUUGGUGGGGUAAAGGCCUACCAAGGCGAUGAUAGGUAGCCGGCCCGAGAGGGUGAACGGCCACAAGGGGACUGAGAUACGGCCCUUACUCCUACGGGAGGCAGCAGUGGGGAAUAUUGGACAAUGGAGGCAACUCUGAUCCAGCAAUUCUGUGUGCACGAAGACGGUUUUCGGAUUGUAAAGUGCUUUCAGUAGGGAAGAAGAAAGUGACGGUACCUACAGAAGAAGCGACGGCUAAAUACGUGCCAGCAGCCGCGGUAAUACGUAUGUCGCAAGCGUUAUCCGGAAUUAUUGGGCUUAAAGGGCAUCUAGGCGGUCUAACAAGUUGAAGGUGAAAAGCUGUGGCUCAACCAUAGUCUUGCCUACAAAACUGUAAGACUAGAGUACUGGAAAGGUGGGUGGAACUACACGAGUAGAGGUGAAAUUCGUAGAUAUGUGUAGGAAUGCCGAUGAUGAAGAUAACUCACUGGACAGAAACUGACGCUGAAGUGCGAAAGCUAGGGGAGCAAACAGGAUUAGAUACCCUGGUAGUCCUAGCUGUAAACGAUGAUCACUGGGUGUGGGGGUGCGAAACCUCUGUGCCGAAGCAAAAGCGAUAAGUGAUCCGCCUGGGGAGUACGUACGCAAGUAUGAAACUCAAAGGAAUUGACGGGGACCCGCACAAGUGGUGGAGCAUGUGGUUUAAUUCGACGCAACGCGAGGAACCUUACCAGGUCUUGACAUACUCGGAAUAAGAUGGAAGCAUCUUAGUGCCUUUGGGAACCGAGAUACAGGUGGUGCAUGGCUGUCGACAGCUCGUGUCGUGAGAUGUUGGGUUAAGUCCCGCAACGAGCGAAACCCCUAUCAUUAGUUGCCAUCAUUAAGUUGGGGACUCUAAUGAAACUGCCCGCGACGAGCGGGAGGAAGGUGGGGAUGACGUCAAGUCAUCAUGCCCCUUAUGAUCUGGGCUACACACGUGCUACAAUGGGUAGUACAAAGAGGAGCGAAGCAGUGAUGUGGAGCAAAUCUCAAAAGCUACUCUCAGUUCGGAUUGAAGUCUGCAACUCGACUUCAUGAAGUUGGAAUCACUAGUAAUCGCAAAUCAGCAAUGUUGCGGUGAAUACGUUCUCGGGUCUUGUACACACCGCCCGUCACACCACGAGAGUUAGUUGCACCUGAAGUUACUGGCCUAACCGUAAGGAGGGAAGUACCUAAGGUGUGAUUAGUGAUUGGGGUGAAGUCGUAACAAGGUAUCCGUACCGGAAGGUGCGGAUGGAUCACCUCCUUUCU
rnacentral:rRNA from 1 species